rnacentral:piRNA from 1 species
ACAACCAUCUGUAAUGAGAUCUG